AAAAUUCAUACUUAGUUGUCUAUUUACUUUGUAGCAGCACCUUCACAAAGACUCACAACUACUAUAGUACCUCUGGUACCUAUAACGCGUUUUUUUUUCUUGUUAGACUUAGAUCGAUCUCCCAAGCUAUUGCAAACCUUACUUCAACAAUGCUCCACCAAUCAACCAUCGUAAUGGUGACCGCGAUCUCAAUCGCAAUGAUUUGGAUGGGCGGUUCUGCUGCCCAAAUGAUGGCCCCGGGAGCGGCCCCCUACUAUAAUGCGCCAGAGGCGCCUGAAUCAUCGAGUGCACCAGCACCAGGAGGAGUUGACUGCUUUACACAGCUGCUGAAUUUGUCGGACUGCUUGACUUACGUGGAAAGUGGAAGCAAGCUGAGCAAACCGGACAAGCUAUGCUGCCCAGAGCUGGCUGGGUUGGUAGAGAGUAACCCGAUAUGCCUAUGCCAGCUUCUGACAGUGAACGCUUACUCAUAUGGCUUCGACAUCGACAAAAAAAGAGCAUUUGGACUCCCUUCCGUCUGCUCCGUCGCAACUCCUCCUGUUAGCUUGUGCUCAGGUACGUACCUAGCUACCUACCGACCGUCUCUGCUUAAUUAAUUGCUACUUAAACUGUUGGGAGUACUUGUAAUUAUUAACGUAACUACUAAAACUUACACCAAUUAGUACCUAAUUAAUGGUCCCUACAAUUCCCAAAUGAUUGAUGCCAGCUGGGAGAGGGCAUUAUAUUGCGUCCUCAAUUCAUUAUUAUUUGUCUCCAUACUCCAAAGGCACCGCUAGCUUUAGGCUUACAAUUAAUCUAUUGGUAUGUGGAAACGGUGCAUUAAACUCAUUUAAAUGUCAGCUGCUGCUAUUGAAUGAUCAAUCACGGCAAACUUG
rnacentral:lncRNA from 1 species